rnacentral:misc_RNA from 1 species
GUGAAUAUAUCUUCUCGGUAGUACAAGUUGACGCAUGCGCACUAGAAAUUUGUUACAUGAAAAUCGCUACUGUGUAUAUACUGUGAUCUCUGGCCUUAUAUUCAAUCGAUUUAAUCUAUUUAGAUUUGUGUCUAUGGUCGAUGUCGGCGGUUCGAAAGCGUCUCGUUAAAUUAGGGUUAUGAUUAUACGUAAGCCGGAGAAUUACAAAAGGAAAUGUUCAUGUAGCUGUCAAAAAAACAGAAUAUUCUUAUAGUUCAUUGAGUUCUUUCUCUAAACAAGUCACAAAGAUUAGGAAUCCAACAAUUUCUCAAGAUGUCUGGUGGUAUGCUGUAUGGUGGAGACGAGAUAGGAGCGUUAGUCUUCGACUUGGGUCAUCAUUCUCUAAGAGUCGGCUAUGCUCAGGAAGAUACUCCGAAGGCGGAGAUCCCGGCAGUUGUCGGGAUAGGGGAGGAUGUGAAUGGUACGGCGACUAAAGUCGAACCUAUGGAUAUUGAUGAUAAAAAGCCUGACAGUAAUAUCACACAAAAUGGGACCAAAUAUUACAUUGACACCACAAUUCUUCACGUUCCACGGAGAAACAUGGAGGUCGUCAGUUAUAUGAAAGAGGGAAUGAUUGACGAUUGGGAUCAUUUCGAGAAAGUCUUGGAUUAUACGUAUUCAAAAAUAAUUCAAUCUGAUGCCGAGUAUCACCCUGUACUGUUUUCCGAAUCGCCAUGGAACGUACGCAGUAAGCGGGAGAAAUUAACUGAGUUGAUGUUUGAGAAGUACAAUGUACCAGCUUAUUUUCUCGUGAAAAAUGCAGUUUUGGCUGCGUUCGCCAACGGUAGAGCCACUGGUAUUGUUGUAGACAGCGGUGCCACGCAUACAUCUGCAGUGCCUGUACAAGAUGGAUUUGUAUUGACACAGGCUAUCGGUAAAUCGCCUCUUGGUGGAGACUACAUAAGUAUGCAAUGUAGACAGUUUUUGCAGGACAAUGAUAUCGACUUAUCACCUCCUUACAUGGUGGGCAGCAAGGAGGUAGUUAAAGACCAUGAUAAGCCACGGUGGGUUAAAAAGAAAAGUUUACCAGAAGUUACCAAAUCUUGGCACAAUUAUAUGGUGAGAAAGGUGAUUCAGGAUUUUCAAGCGACAGUUCUUCAGGUGUCAGAAACACCAUACGAUGAAAAGAUCGUUUCUACGAUUCCCGCGGUUCAAUAUGAAUUCCCGACUGGGUAUCAUCAGGACUUUGGAAGUGAAAGAUUUCGAAUACCAGAGGCGUUAUUUGAUCCUAGCAUAGUACAAAUGCCGCGAGGUAUGGUCGGCAAUACUAUGUUAGGAGUAGGGCAUAUCGUCACAACUAGUGUUGGCAUGUGCGACGUUGAUGUACGACCAGCGUUGUAUGGUAGUGUUGUGGUAACUGGUGGCAACUCGUUUAUUCAGGGUUUUCCGGAACGUUUAAAUAGAGAUUUAUCGAUGAGAAUACCCUCUAGCAUGCGUCUUAAAGUGAUUAGCGCAAACGGAUGCGCUGAAAGAAGAUUUGGAGCAUGGAUCGGUGGUUCGAUAUUGGCAUCGAUUGGUACUUUCCAACAAAUGUGGAUCUCCAGUCAGGAAUAUGAAGAGAGCGGAAAGAGUCAAGUGGAAAGAAAAUGUCCCUAAAAUGCAGUAGCUCCUUUUCAUAUCGUUUCAUCAAUUAGUGUCAGUGUGUUUGUAUGAACGUCGCACAGAGACUGCUUCACCAGGCUGAUUCUUAUUCCAACUGACGAGUGGAUCGUACACAAAAGGUUACCUGAAGCUGUCCAUUGACUUCAUGAGCUAAAACCAACUGUUGCAAAGUAGGAGACUGAUUUUGGGUCGCCAGGAUACCAGACACUCCGUCAGGAUCAUCGAAUACAUCAAUGCACGGUGAUAUUCACGUGAUUGGUAACAACCCUCCGCUACUACCAAACUAUCUAAUCUAGCGCAGAAUUCUAGAAAUAUCGACAAAACCACCAAUCACAUAAUAUAUGAUCUAUCAUAUUAUAAAUUAAUCUAGUACAGGAUAAAAUAGUUUUUUUUUCCUACAAACUUUUUAUUGCUUCAUAUCUAUCAUCUUGAAACAAUCUUCGUUCUCUGAGCCAUCUUUGUAAAUGAUCCAAUAUACAAAAGAUCACCUGUUCCAAUCAUAUAAAAACAUUUAAUGACAAAACUCUUUCUUUAAUGCUAA